AGUGACAGAGUGAGGGGGUGACUAGUGACACAGUGAGGGAGGGGGUGACUAGUGACAGAAGGAGGGAGGGAGUAGUGACAGAGGGAGGUGGUGACUAGUGACAGAGUGAGGGAGGGAAGGGUGUGACUAGUGACAGUCACCACCUCCUUCACUCUGUCACUAGUCACCCCCUCCCUCACUCUGUCACUGUGUCACCCUCUCUCUCACUCUGUCACUAGUCACCCCGUCCCUCACUCUGUCACU